rnacentral:rRNA from 1 species
UACAGAGGGUGCGAGCGUUAAUCGGAAUUACUGGGCGUAAAGCGCACGUAGGUGGCGACGUAAGUCGGGUGUGAAAGCCCCGGGCUCAACCUGGGAAUUGCAUUCGAGACUGCAUUGCUGGAGUACGGAAGAGGAGGGCGGAAUUCCCGGUGUAGCGGUGAAAUGCGUAGAUAUCGGGAGGAACAUCAGUGGCGAAGGCGGCCCCCUGGGUUAACACUGACGCUCAGGCACGAAAGCGUGGGGAGCAAACAGG